rnacentral:rRNA from 1 species
GCAAGUCGAACGGAAACGAUGGGAGCUUGCUCCCAGGCGUCGAGUGGCGGACGGGUGAGUAAUACUUAGGAAUCUACCCAGUAGCGGGGGACAACUCGAGGAAACUCGAGCUAAUACCGCAUACGCCCUACGGGGGAAAGCAGGGGAUCUUCGGACCUUGCACUAUUGGAUGAGCCUAAGUCGGAUUAGCUUGUUGGUGAGGUAAAGGCUCACCAAGGCAACGAUCCGUAGCUGGUCUGAGAGGACGAUCAGCCACACUGGGACUGAGACACGGCCCAGACUCCUACGGGAGGCAGCAGUGGGGAAUAUUGGACAAUGGGGGCAACCCUGAUCCAGCAAUGCCGCGUGUGUGAAGAAGGCCUGCGGGUUGUAAAGCACUUUCAGUAGAGAAGAAAAGCCUACGGUUAAUACCCGUGAGUCUUGACGUUACCUACAGAAGAAGCUCCGGCUAACUCCGUGCCAGCAGCCGCGGUAAUACGGAGGGAGCGAGCGUUAAUCGGAAUUACUGGGCGUAAAGCGCGCGUAGGCGGCUUUGUAAGUCGGAUGUGAAAGCCCUGGGCUCAACCUGGGAAUGGCAUUCGAUACUGCAGAGCUAGAGUAUGGUAGAGGGAAGUGGAAUUUCCGGUGUAGCGGUGAAAUGCGUAGAUAU